UACAGAGGGGGCAAGCGUUGUUCGGAAUUAUUGGGCGUAAAGAGCUCGUAGGCGGUCUGUCGCGUCGGAUGUGAAAAUCCAGGGCUCAACCCUGGACCUGCAUUCGAUACGGGCAGACUAGAGUUCGGCAGGGGAGACUGGAAUUCCUGGUGUAGCGGCGAAAUGCGCAGAUAUCAGGAGGAACACCGGUGGCGAAGGCGGGUCUCUGGGCCAUACUGACGCUGAGGAGCGAAAGCGUGGGGAGCGAACAGG
rnacentral:rRNA from 1 species